CCUACGGGUGGCAGCAGUGGGGGAUAUUGCACAAUGGGGGAAACCCUGAUGCAGCGACGCCGCGUGGGUGAAGAAGCGCCUCGGCGCGUAAAGCUCUGUCAGCAGGGAAGAAAAUGACGGUACCUGUAGAAGAAGCUCCGGCUAACUACGUGCCAGCAGCCGCGGCACUAUGUAGGGGGCAAGCGUUAUCCGGAUUUACUGGGGGUAAAGGGGGCGUAGGCGGCGAUGCAAGCCAGGAGUGAAAGCCCGGGGCCCAACCCCGGGACUGCUCUUGAAACUGCGUGGCUAGAGUGCAGGAGGGGCAGGCGGAAUGCCUGGUGUAGCGGUGAAAUGCGUAGAUAUCAGGAGGAACACCGGUGGCGAAGGCGGCCUGCUGGACUGCAACUGACGUUGAGGCCCGAAAGCGUGGGGAGCAAACAGGAUUAGAUACCCCAGUAGUC
rnacentral:rRNA from 1 species